GAUGAACGCUGGCGGCGUGCCUAAUACAUGCAAGUCGAGCGAACAGACGAGGAGCUUGCUCCUCUGACGUUAGCGGCGGACGGGUGAGUAACACGUGGAUAACCUACCUAUAAGACUGGGAUAACUUCGGGAAACCGGAGCUAAUACCGGAUAAUAUAUUGAACCGCAUGGUUCAAUAGUGAAAAACGGUUUUGCUGUCACUUAUAGAUGGAUCCGCGCCGCAUUAGCUAGUUGGUAAGGUAACGGCUUACCAAGGCGACGAUGCGUAGCCGACCUGAGAGGUGAACCGGCAGACGCGUACUUAGCAACCGUCCCAGCCUCCUGCGGGAGCCGCCGGAAGGAAACCUUCCGCAAUGGCGGAAACCCUACCGAAGCAACCCGAGUUGAUGAUUAAAGGUCUUCGUUUCGAAAAACCCGGUAGUAGGGAAGAACAAAUGUGUAAGUAACUAUGCACGUCUUGACGGUACCUAAUCAGAAAGCCACGGCUAACUACGUG
rnacentral:rRNA from 1 species